rnacentral:rRNA from 1 species
CCUGGCGGAGAUAGCGCGGUGGUCCCACCUGACCCCAUGCCGAACUCAGAAGUGAAACGCCGUAGCGCCGAU